UACGAACCGUCCUAACGUUGUUCGGAAUCACUGGGCUUAAAGGGCGCGUAGGCGGGUUCCCAAGUCGGUGGUGAAAUCUUUCGGCCCAACCGGAAAACAGCCGCCGAUACUGGGAGUCUUGAGGGAGGUAGGGGUCGAUGGAACUUCCGGUGGAGCGGUGAAAUGCGUAGAUAUCGGAAGGAACGCCGGUGGCGAAAGCGAUCGACUGGACCUUUUCUGACGCUGAGGCGCGAAAGCCAGGGGAGCAAACGGG
rnacentral:rRNA from 1 species